UUUCAGCCCUUUCCUUGCCAUCCAACUUUGAGAAGUCGAUGACGGGAAUUGCCAUGUCUAAUAGCAAAGGUAGUUCUAGAGAGGGAAGAUGAGAACUCAGAAGCUUUAUUCCAAGUUUCGGAAGUCUCUCUUCUGCUGUGAGUGGAAUUGGUGGCAUGGUUGGCCUUUUAUAAUGCACCGUCUCGGUAUAUUUAGACAAGAAAACAGGAAGGAUAGUAAUUAAUGACAUUAAUCACAUUAAUCAGGUGUUGGUGGCUACUCUUGGUCCAAAGGUCAUGCAUCUUGGGUGACAGCUUUGUCCGCAGCCUUCUUUCCAUUGACUGGGAUACGCAAGAGCCUUCUUUCAACUUCCAAGCUAAAGUUUGACCUGAAUGAUCUUAAAUUCUAUGUAGGUAGGCCAUGCCUCCCAUAAUAUAUAUAUGGUCUAAUUUUACCGACCACCAUGCGUUAAUAAAAUUAGACCAUAUAUAUCUAUCUAUCUACCUACGUACCUAUCUAUCUUUAUAGAUAUCUCUGUAUGCGUAUAUAUGCAUGUGUAUACUACGCAAAAAAAGAAAACUUCCGACUCUUAUUUGCCGACGCUUAUUCCAAGCGUCAGCAAAAAUUUUUCCCGUCAACAUUUGCCGACGCUUUUUAAAGCGUCGGCUAAUGAUGACGCUUAAAAGCGUCGUCGAAGUUAAUAUGUAAUUGACGACACUUUUAACGACGCGUUUUAGCGUCGUCAAAUAACGACGCUUAAAAGCGUCGUGAAAUAACGACACUUAAAAGCGUCGUCGGAAUCCAAAAAACCGCCUCAUUUUAGUCCCACAUCAGCGGAUCUGGAAAAAAAACUGUUUAUAUAGCCAAACCCAACCACUCCGCACGGAUAGAAUGAAGGUACUGAUCGGGGAGGUUGUUUGUAUUUCUGAAUGGAGGAGAAGAUGCAGACAGUAAAUGGUAAUUUUCUUGGCAAAUGGUAAUUUGCGACGCUUUAAAGCGUCGGUAAAGAGCGAUGCUUUAAAGCGUCGAAAAUUAGCGACGUUUUUAAAAGCGUCGGAAAAUGUUUUUUCCACUGUAGCAUAGGCGACGCUUUACCAACGCUUUGGAAAACGUCAGGAUGGUUUCUACCGACGCUUAAAAGCGUUGCUAAUACCCCAAAAAAGCGUCGCUAAUGUCCAAGAUUCUUGUAGUGGUAGGCCAUACCUAAUUUUACUUAGUUCUAAUCUUAGUCUGCCAGAUCUUUGUUCCACCAAGCUGGACUUAAUCAAUAAUUGAUGAUAAUCGUAAAGCGACGGGGAUGGGAUAUAUUAUAUGUACUUAAAUUAGAUGUACAUAUUUAGUGGGAUUUUAUCAUAUCUUGGAUCGCAUCAUAUUCUGAGAUCAUAAAAUUUUCUGAGGGAUCUUUUCUGAUGUCACACGUACUCAGAGGCAAAAUUGGAAUUGGAAUUGGAAUAAACCUUUUCCGGUCUAAAGGGAUAGUAACAAGGUCAAGUCAAACAUUUCUGCCCGUUGCCUGGUGCACUACACGUGGACCACUGUAUUUUGAGGAAGCUUGCCCGGCGUCGAUGAGCUUUCCUCCCUUAGGCUGACAUGGUUUCAUUAUGUUUUUUUUUGUUCACGCUAACUUCUAUCUUCGUGAAGCUUUCCACCCUUGGACUAUUCGUCCUCUUAAGUCUAGCAGAAGUGUAAGUUUUUGGACACUUCUGUUUCGAGUCAUUCCAUGAAGGCUCUAUUAACUUUCGUAUAUAAAUUUGAUAUUCAAGAGAUGGUUGGACGCCUCUUUGCUUCUAUCUUCGACGUUUCCCUGGAUAGAUGAGUCGUUUUGAUGGUGUUCCAUUCUAGACGAUAUUAGAACUUCCAAUCCUAGUAGUGUUAGCCUAGAGAUCUAAUUGGAAGGAAACUCAACAAAAGCAUGGGUGGCUGCAUUUUCUAACAGACAUCCGAGACCAUAGACCAUUUGUUCAUUGACUGUCCAUUUUCCUCCACAAAAAUUCUUUUGUGGUACAGGUUGUGGCCAAGGGUCUUUGUCCUUUUAAGGGUUUUUGUGCCUGGGUGGCUCCCCCCCACCCUUUUUUUUUAUAUAAUAUAGCCAAAACAAAAUUCAUACUUGAAGGAUGUCCCACAACAUUGUUUGUAAACUCUCUAUUAUGCGAGAAUUAACAUACAAGUUUGGCAUAUAAAAACUAUCCAUGUGAUGUUAAGAUUGUACAAAAAUAUAAAAUAUAUAAAUAAAUCUACCUCAUUCUAUCAGCUUAAACUUUUAGAAUAAGUGGUGAUUUCAACAUGGUAUCAGAGUGGAGGUCCUGAGUUCGAACCCUGUCUCCGCACUCUUUAACCCCAUGAUUUCUACAAAGAUCACAAACGGCUAUCAUCUAAGUACUAAACAAAAAGGCUCUGAUACCACAACUUGAGAAACUAUCUCAAGUAAAAUAAUUUUAUGCAGCAAUAAUAUUAGUGAUGCAUACCUCCAACCAUAACUAUUUAAGUAUGUGAUUAAAGCUUAUCCACAAUAAAACUUUAAGAAAAAAGGGUUUUAUAACUUAUACCUCCGUAAAAGCCAAAAAAAAUUGAUAGAAUAUUAUAAGCUCAAAAAUAGGCUAGGUUAGGGAUCCUUGUCGGAUGAUCAAAAUCUCGUCAGUUUUUUUUUAUUAAAGAAACUAUCAGCACAUCACAUUGGAGCUUUUUUAUGGGAUGGCAUUAUCCCCAUUCCAUAGAGCCUAGCUCGUGUUUUGUAUUUUAACUUCUCGUGACGUACUCGCACCGUAUGGUAAGACGCCGGUUUACCAAAAAAAACUAUCUAUAAGCAUAACUAGAGAUGGUAGAUAAUUACCUAUCACUCAAAAGUUAUCCCAUAACAAAGCCUUACAUGUGGGCUAUAUAGAGACGUGCUCAAGAUCCCUUCUUUUGAUUCUAUUGUUAUUUUCUUGCAUAACUUUAUAGUGUGAAAUGGUUUAGUUGCAAAACUAAAGUUUUGCAUUAUAAUGGCGUGUACUUUGUUGUCUGAGAUGCUUCAACAUGAGAAAAAUACGGUUGUGCAGCUCUUUCUUCUCUAUCAUAUGACUAAUUUAAGGAUUUCUUGGACAAACACAAAUAGUCAUUUCAACCAAGAUAUAAUGUCCAGAAUUAGUAUGAAAUACUAUGUUAAAACUGGUGUGAGAAGUUUUGGUCCUCCCAAGCUCAAAAUAUUGUACGAGUCCUAGAACUCGUUGGCCCACGAGAAAGAUUUGUGCGGUCACUUCCUGUUUCUCCCCACACACAUCCCCGGGUGAAUUUAGGAAGCAAUUGACAUGAGAAAAAAGUGGAUGGCCGACAUCCACGACAUGUCCACGUGGCCCCUGUCCGUGAAGUAGGAUCGUCGUCCCCACCUCCUCUUCAACUCGUACGUAAUUUCUUAGUUUUUCUUGUGUAAUAUUUACAUUUUGAUACUAUAUAAAAGUGGGAUAAAAACAGAUAUUUAUAAUUAAAAUAAAAUUAAAAUCGGAUUGGACAUGGAUCGAAUAAUAGCAUAUCCAUAUUUAUAUUUUAUUUGUUUGACUAAUACAGAUACGGAUACCGAUAUUAAUCGGAUGUAAAAAUUCAUGUGUAUAUCAAUUUUAAACAAAUACAGAUACAAACCGGAUAUUAAAAGUAUGGAUAUAUCUAUGCAUGGGAAGACAUCUCCUAUGCGAGAAGGGCACUGGGUGCAUGCAGGAUAUACCUCGAGGAGGACUCUACUACGGUGAUCGAUUGGAUAUGGAGAGCUGAUCGAUACAAGGACGGUCCCCCACGGAUUCGUGAGACUCGCAGACAGAUCAGAAGUUUGGCUUCUUUCCAAACAGUGCAUGUAUAUCAGAAGGUAAACAGAGUGGCAGAUUGGGUCGCCUUCUACGUGGCUCGGCACUCUGAAAAGAUUUUUUGAACCAGUGUUACUGAGAUUCCUUCUCCCUUGUAUUAUUUUAUUGAUUUUGACUUGGCAAGCUAUACUCAUGUAAGAGCUAUAUAUAUAUAUGAGUGUCGUUUUUAUCAAAAAAAAAGUAUAGAUAUAAAUACGAAUAUAAAUCGGAUAAUUAAACUUUAUGAUCACAGAGUCCAAGAUAUUACUAAGUGAAUGAUAAAUCAAGUUAAUAUAUAGUAUAUUAAUGUAAUUAUUUAUUUGCCAUAAAAGCUCAUGAGUGCUAUAUAAUAUUAAAUCAAAUUACAAAUGAAAUCAAAUAUUUAGAUGCGGAUCGGAUAGUUGUUUAUCCAUAUCCACUUUCUCUUUUUUUUUAAUGGAUGUGAAUACAGAAAUAGAUAUGCUCAAAUUUCUAUCUAUAUUUGGAUAGAUUUGGAUACAGCUCCAAACAAAUAUUGCCCGAUCCAUUUUCAUGCUUAAAUUAAAAGCAGGUUUGAGUGGUGGCUAUCUUGGGUUGCCAGUGGUUGCCCCAUGGAAGGAAAAUUUCUUUACAACUAGUUCACAGAGAAUCAAGAUAAUAUAAUCUCCAUUAUAGGAGGAAGGUAUAUGAAACCAAGAUAUUUUUAGGCGUUUCUUUCUAUAAGUAAUAUGGAGCCAAGAUCAAGACCUGCAUUAGCUGUUUAGGUUCAGAGGCCCCAACAGAUUGAAGCGAAGUGAUGAUGUGGUUUAGUCAUCAUAACUAACCUUACUCAACCAAAAGCAAAAAGAAGAAUUGGAGGUCGAAGAUUCUUCAACUUUUACAAUUUUUGUCACUUGGGAUCUCCUGAAUUUAUGUUGUUCUGAUUAUUUAAAAUUUGUCUUUCACAAGUGUUGCAAUCACUAUGACAUUGUGCUCGUCCUUCAUUUGAGAAUGAACCGCAGCAUUGGGAAUUUACACUCUACACUCCCUUAUUCAACUAAUUUUUGAGUAUUUAUCUUAUUUUACCAUGUAAUUACCAUUUGAGUGUGAGGCUAAAAAUAAUUCUUUCUACAUUAGAGAUAGAUUCUUUUUACCAUGUAAUAUUGCGUUGUCUCAUCAUUGAUUGCUAUCUUCAUUCUUCUAGUCUCGGUAUCCUAGCCUUUGGAAUGUUUGGAUCGCAUUGACCGAACAGGAGGACUCUUAAGAGAUGUUAAAUUAUCAUCUAUCUUUCUGUAGCAAGAAAUUAGGAGUGGGAAAAGUGAUUUCAAUCUCAUAUUUUUUUUAUAAAAAAAAAGGGAGAGAAAAAAGAAUGCAAUCAAAAAAAAGAAGAAGAGAGAAAGAAUCUAUCUCUGAUGCAGAAAGAACUAUUUAUAGCCUCAAACUUUGGUGGUAAAAGAAUUAUUUAUCCAGAAAGAAUUACAUGGUAAAAUAAGAUACAACAGUGACCACUUAAUUAGCCGUCGAUCUCCAGAGUACAAACUACAACGUGAACACUGACUCAACACCACCACCAAAUUUAUGAUCUGUCCGUCUUACAAACAAUCAACUCUUGCAAAUUAACCAACAGAGGACCACUCAAAAACUAACUCCAUGAAACCUUGUUUCUCAUGUUCAUUUCUAGCUUCUGCUUUUCCUUCCCAUGGCUGCGACCGCUUCAAAUCUUGGCUCCUUAGGCUGAAACUUCUGCUUGACAUACACAUCCAUGUAGUCCCCGAAGACAAACUUGGGGUACAAAGGUUGAGCCUCUUCUCCGGGGCUUGCCGGAGCUAUCGUGGCCUUGGGGGAGGGGUUGUAGAAGGACGCAAUGGAGCGGCGGUUGCCAUUGCUGGUGGCGAGCACACGGUGCCACACGCUUUUGUAUCGCCCAUUGCUGAGCACCUCUAUCUGAUCUCCGGUGUUGAUCACGAUGGCAUUGGCUACAGGCUGGACGUCGAUCCACUGGCCAUCUUUAAGCAUCUGGAGUCCACCUACAUGAUCGUCUUGGAAGAGCAGGAUGACGCCGCCGGCGUCGGUGUGGGCACGAAGGCCUCGAACGAGGUCUAGGCGAGGGCAUGGCGGGUAGUGGCUCACCUUGGUCCCGUAGAAGGGCUCGUGUUCGCCGUUGCCGGAGAAAGCAUUCUUUAUGCAGCCCUUCUGUAAACCCAAGUUUUCAUCCAUUAUUUCCAUUAGUUUCUCCGCCAGCUUCUUGAGCUCUCUCCUGUAUUCCUUCAUGGUUUCCCUGCAAGUUAAGGAAGAGAAGGGUUUUAAUGAAGCAACCAUAUAUGUUUUCGGUUGACCUGGCCGGGAAGUGUAGGAUCUUACUUGAACUCUGGGGGGUUGGAUGGCCAUUCAUUGUCGUCUUGGAGAACAAACACAUCCUCCCAAUCCACGUCGUCCAACCGCUGAACGUUACUGUUCUCGCCUUCUUUAUCCUCCAAUUUGUUCAACAACUGGACAGGGUUGGAUUUCUUGAAGGCUUCAGCUCUCAGUUUGUAGCAUUCAGAGCUGACCUUCUUCACGCGCUCCAGAAACUCCACCGGAAUCCCAUGGUUCGCCAGCUGACAACAGCAACAACAAUAUCAUAUUGAGAAUAAAUGACAACAUUUAAUUUGUUCAUGGCCUAAAUGGGUUGCGGCAGUGUCACUGACUGACCUGAAAGAAUCCCCACUCUUCGCAUCCAUUGGCGAUCUUAGCCAAAGUUUCAGCCCUUUCCUUGCCAUCCAACUUCGAGAAGUCGAUGACCGGAAUUGCCAUGUCUAAUAGCAAAGGUAGUUCUAGAGAGGGAAGAUGAGAACUCAGAAGCUUUAUGGCAAGUUUCGGAAGUCUCUCUUCUGCUGUGAGUGGAAUUGGUGGCAUGGUUGGCCUUUUAUAAUGCACCGUCUCGGUGUAUUUAGACAAGAAAACAGGAAGGAUAGUGAUUAAUGGCAUUAAUCACAUUAAUCAGGUGUUGGUGGCUAAGC
rnacentral:lncRNA from 1 species